rnacentral:misc_RNA from 1 species
UCCUAAUAGUUUCGCAAUUAUCCCUUGACCUAGGGUGUCAUGGGGUCUCACACGAAUUUAGGGUGGCAACUGAGCUCACGGUUGCUUCUUGGGUCGGUUACCUAUCGGCGGGACCUCGGCUUAUUUAAUCGAUUAUGCUUGAUUUUUCUUAUUUUCAUUUCACCUUCAUGUGAUUUCUAUUAAUUUUUCUUUAUGGCUUCUCUAGAUGACUUAGAUAUGGUUCUAAACAUUCUGCCUGUUCGAAUAGACACUAGUCACCGAAACAGUAGAAUGUAUAGACUACUUAGUGUGGGGGUGUUACAAGAAUAGUCACAUGUCCCUCUUAAUGGUCUAUUAGAUAAGGAUCAUUUACACUGUGAUUAUUGUGGAAAAUCAAGGCAUACAAAGGAACAUUGCUGGAAGCUAUAUGGUUGCUCAUCCAAAAGGCAAGGAGGUAAACGGAUGAGCUCAGCAAGACAAUAAGCAAAUGUUUUUGAGAUAGUGGAUUUUUCUGAAAACAAUGCUCCUACUGCCACCACUAGAAU